rnacentral:rRNA from 1 species
AUACGGAGGGGGCGAGCGUUAUUCGGAAUCAUUGGGCGUAAAGGGCGCGUAGGCGGCCUGACAAGUCAGGGGUGAAAUCCCUCGGCUAAACCGAGGAACUGCCUCUGAAACUGUCAGGCUUGAGGCCGGGAGAGGGUAGUGGAAUUCCCAGUGUAGCGGUGAAAUGCGUAGAUAUUGGGAGGAACACCAGUGGCGAAGGCGGCUACCUGGACCGGUUCUGACGCUGAGGCGCGAAAGUGUGGGGAGCAAACAGGAUUAGAUACCCCAGUAGUCC